UACAGAGGUCUCAAGCGUUGUUCGGAUUCAUUGGGCGUAAAGGGUGCGUAGGUGGCGAGGUAAGUCAGGUGUGAAAUUUCGGAGCUUAACUCCGAAACUGCAUUUGAUACUGCCUUGCUUGAGGACUGGAGAGGAGACUGGAAUUCACGGUGUAGCAGUGAAAUGCGUAGAUAUCGUCAAGAACACCGAUAACGAAGGCAGCUUACUGGGCUGUAACUGACGCUGAUGCACGAAAGUGUGGGGAUCAAACAGG
rnacentral:rRNA from 1 species